CGGGACGGGUGAGUAACGCGUGGGUAACCGUGCCUCAUACAGGGGGAUAACGAUUGGAAACGAUUGCUAAUACCGCAUAAGCGCACAGUACCACAUGGUACAGUGUGAAAAACUCCGGUGGUAUGAGAUGGACCCGCGUCUGAUUAGCUAGUUGGUGAGGUAACGGCCCACCAAGGCAACGAUCAGUAGCCGACCUGAGAGGGUGACCGGCCACAUUGGGACUGAGACACGGCCCAG
rnacentral:rRNA from 1 species